UAUUUAAUGGUAAACAAUUCCAUAUGACAUCAAUAAUCAAUAGGAUAUGUGCAAGUAGACCAAUAAGUUUGUUUAUAAUAUCUUAUACGUGUCUCUUUUAUAAGUCAUGCUUUGUCAUUGUAAUAGUGUCGUUUGUGGAUGAAAAACAUAGAAAUAAGCAAAUCACGAUUUGGUUUCAGGCAAUUGGUGUAAUAUCGCGAGACUAAUAACGACUGUUUAAAUAAAGAAAACUGCGACAUUUCCUCAUUAGAUUUUUUCAAGAAAAGAGUUGAACACAUUCUCACGAUGCACUUUAUGAUACACACAUUAAGAAUUAUUACUUUUGCAAUUUUAAUCUCAAAUAUUGUAACAAAACCUGAGAAUUCAUUAAUUAGGUUUGACAAACAUAUAGAACUUGAUACAAAAAAGAACAUUGAUGAUAGUACAUCGGAAAAUAAUAUAUAUGUAACGGUGGAAAAAGCUAACAAUCAAUAUGAUAAUUAUGUAAUGGUAUGGGUUUGGUUUUCAUUCUUGAUGUUAGGAAUAAUAUUUUAUGUACGCGUGUGGAUUGAUUUCAGGUAUAUAAAUUUCUGCAAUCACUAUGUAUAUAAUUUUAUAUUUAAUUAAUUAAUUUAUAGAAGUUGUUUUAUGU